rnacentral:lncRNA from 1 species
UUGUUUGAAGAUGGCAUGGAGACGAACUCCUAGCAAGUCUUUUGGCGAGAAGAAUUAUAAUCCUUCUCCUAGCAGCACUUCAUGAACUGAAAUCAUUCUCUAGGAUGAUGAUGACAUGCCAGUUCUUGGUAUAUGGACAUGAGUCCUGAGAUCCCACACGUGGAUACACAAAAGGACUACAUAGAAUGCUGAAGAUUGGGAAGAUACCCUUGUGGGAAAGGUGUCUGCAUAUUGAUGACAUCAGGGGUUUGACCUGGCAGUCUUCCAGUGCUCAAAUCACUGCUUCCACCUUGGCAGAUGCAGGUUUAGAGAGUUUCUGAAAUGUUCUAGCACAGAGAGAAGAGGACCCAAAAGUCGCAGCUGGAGAGGAGAUCCUAGAGGGACAUCACCCCUGAAGGACAGUGAUCUCUGCUUUUCACCAGCUGUCAGCACUGCUGAUCCAUGUGGGCUAGGCAGGGCGAUGCUGCCUUCUUCAUGUAAAUCAGAAGAGCAAGGAAAGCUAAUUGACAGCUCAGUACAGGCCUCAGGAAUAAUGGCAGGUGGGUCCUGGACUGGACAACAGUGGCAACUUUUACCCCAUGACUGUUGGCUACUGACUGAAAUCAAUUGCUGUACCUCAAUUUAUAGCAACAAAUAUUUGGUCUUGCUUGAAUCUACUUGA